rnacentral:misc_RNA from 1 species
AUAUCUCAACCACACCAUGGUGGUGUGGCUUGGAAUUGGGGGUUUAUGCAGGCUCUUUCUUGUAGUCUGCUCCCCUGAAAUGCAUGAGUGGUCGAACCUCUGUUAGGUGUGAUAAUUAUCUGCAUCUGAUGGAAAGGUCUCAUGGCUGCUGCUAUACCUCGUUGGAGUUGAUAA